CUUUAUAAUUAUUUUUUAAACAUUUUGACAAGUUUAUUUUUAAUAUUAAGUAUUAAUUAAGUAAAGGAAUAUUUUUUAAUAUUAUUUUAAACUAUUCUAAUUUCAAUAACAAAAGCUAUACAACACUGGAAAUAGCACCCGGAUCAAAAUUUAUCUACAGUAGCACUUCAGGAUUUAUACGGAUUAUUUGCAUAAUAACAAACAUUAAAUAAUAAUAUUUUAAUCAGUGGAUUUUAUUGUGCCUCAAGUAAUUCAACGAGAAACCUGACAUUUCCGUGUUAAAAGAAAACCGAUAAAAUAUUGAGAGUUUAUCUACCCAUGCUGGGAUUGCCGUGAUACAAAGAUGAUGACUAUUGCAAUAAAACGUGACUUGCUUUUCAAAACAUUGGACAAACAUCACGUUCUGACUGAGUGUCAAUGAAGCGAAUAGAGAAGGGGUGUGUUUGUUUGAAGGUACAUAGUAUGGCAUGUUACUGUGAUAGAAGUAAAAAGUCAUUAUAUGAAAUAUUUGCAUUAUAUGAAACACUCUUAACAGAAAAUAAGAAUAAUUAUACUUGCAUUAAACUGUACAAUAAUUACUUGUUUUUUUUUUCUAUGAAUAGACAAUGAAAAAGCAAAUGAUAGCAAGAAUAGGGUUUUGACCAAGGUAUAGAUGCGUCCGAAGAAAUUAUCUACAAGAUUGACACGCCUGCCAACAGAUAUUGUCUGUUGUGCUUGGAGCCUAAGUACUGGACUACUUAUAUUUUUGAAUAAAACAUACAAAAGAACUGCAAUUGGUAAUAAAAAGCAAAACACAUAAUGCAAAUUACACAAGAACUGCGUAAAGGAUAUGUGCCAGGACUCUUUAAAUUUCACUUUUUUAAAUGUUCCUCCACCUAUGGCUGAAUGCCUAUAUAUAACGUCUUUUUUCUAAACAGGAUGUUCAUCUCACAUUAUAUGGCAAUAAAACCAAAGGAAUGGAAAAGAUUAUGACUUCAGAAUUCUUAAAAAUAAGAGGACAUUUGGUUGUUUCAAUUUUGAGAGACGUUACUUUGACGCAAGAUUCUUACAAAAGAUUUAUUGAUCUUCAAGAUAAGUUGCAUCAAAAUAUAGGAACAAGACAUAGUCUGGUCUCUAUUGCAACAACGACGACGACGUCGCUUGUUUACGUCAGCCAUGCACGGACACGGACGACGCCUGGUGCGAUGACGAUGACUACGACGGCGCAGACGUUGCGUUGUGUGCAUCAUGGCGGUUGCCAGAUUAAGAAACCCACGAAUGGAAUUCGGUAGAUAUUGAUCCUUGAGCAAAAUAAAACAAAAUUAAUGAUUCUUGCUAAAUUACUAUUAUUAUUUAAUGUUUAUUAUUUUGCAAACAAUCCAUAUAAAUCCUCAAGUGCUAAUGUAGAUGAAUUUUGAUACAGGUGCUAAUUCAAGUUUAGUAUAGCUUUUGUUAUGAAAAUUUGGAUAGU